AUGAAUUGGUUUAUUUCUAGAUCUCUGUUUUGUUCUCUGCUCUCUGCUCUCUCUCUCUCUUUCUCUCCUGCCUUUCCCUCUCUUUUUUGCCUUUGUAGCUCCCUGCCAGUGCAGCUGUCCCAGACCGCCUUUGAUGCUACUCUGUUGUCUUUGGCACCAGCUCACAGGCUCUGCUGGGCUGAAGCUGGAACUCUUCCAUCUCAUCUUCUUUCUUUUGUCCUGCAAUACGGUUAUCCUGGAGGCCACUCAGCUGCCUCCCAACAUUAGAGGUAGGUGACAAGAAGAGGGAAUAGACUCUCUGAAGCUAGAGGAAAGCGGCUGAACAUCUUAUAAUAGUGAACACCUUUGUUGUUGCUAAAACUCUUUUCCAAACACAUGUAUGGGGUAUUUUGAAAUGAAUUUUGGCAUCUCUCAUAUUUCCCUCAGCAAGCUGUGGUAUCUGGCGGUGUUUUUCAAGAAAGUACUUACCUUUGAUAAUCAGACUGAGUUGAAAUUAUCCUGAUUUCAUUGUACUACAGACGUGAGCAACACAUUUUCUAAAUUCCAUGGGGUGAACCAAAUAUUUUCAACUGCACAAUAAUGUUGAGCUGAAUAAAAGGGUUUGAAAAACCUGAAAUAAUGCAUUUCUUUGGAAUAAUUCAACACUGCUUUAAGCCUACUUUCUCCUUUCAAGAACUCAUUUCCUAUUUAGAGCUAAAUAAAAGUAUAUAUUAACUCUGAACCUUGGAUAAAUUCUUUGGAAAAAAAAAAAGAAUUGACUCUGAUCUUAGGGUCGACAGUGCAGAUCAAAGAGCAUGGAUUUAUUUUGGCCGAUAACAUCCUAACACUGAUUCAAAAUUGGUUAAGAUGACUUGGAGGAAUAGAAGUGUUAAAAUUAUAUACUGUUCCAGUUCUACAUUAUAGUAAGACGUUCCUGUGGAGAAAAAUCUAAUUUUAAGCUUACCAUGAUUUUCCUGCAUAAACAUGAGGAGUUACGAGCUCAAAGCUUUUCUUUAGAACACUGCUUGUACAAAAGAUCUUUAUCUGGUUCAUUCUUGUUUGGUGUUAUACUGUGCAGAAAACCAUGUGCCACACUUAGUCCGUUUGCUUAUCCCACUAUGCAGCCACCUGCAGACUGAUUAUUUCCUUUUAAAGCAGGAGUAAAAUCUCCACUUCCCUCCCUCCUGUAGGCAGCCUCAGCAUAAAAGCAGCUCAUACAAUGAUGCUUUGUGAGAACAGAUCCCAUUAACAACAGCAACAACAACUUAGAUUUAUACAGCGCUUUAUCACACGUACAGCCAGGCAACGCCAGGCAUUUUCUAAAACGGAAAUCAUUUCCCUUUAGGCCUCUAAAAAAAUCCUUAUUAAACAACAACAACAAUGCCAAAGACUGACUUGAACAUAAGCAUGAAGAGGAGGAAAGUGUGUUUUCUUCCUAAAUGAAGGUAGACUUCAAGUCAACUUGUUCGCUGCAUUGUUUUGUCAACAGGUAACACUGGUAUUCAGUAACCUAAUGAGAAAGACACUGUUAUUUGAAAGAGAGCUUAAUCCAAGUGCUUUGCUCAGAGGAGCAUUUACUUAGCAAGAUUUUGAAGAAGUUUGAUUUAUUGCUGUAAUGUGCUAUAUAAUACGUUUUUCUAUAUCAGGUUUAGGGUAGGAUGCUGAUUUUUUUUUUUUUUACCUAUGCUGUGAAGAAUUUGGCCGGUUGAUAAUUAGUCAUAAAAUAAUUGUAAAGACUUUUCUUUUGUAAUGGUAGCUAGGGCUGUUGCUGUAGCUGGCAAAAUCGAUCCAUGAAUGUUAAAGCCUUUAAGUCACAUAGUAUAUCCCUCAGUUUAUAAUGUUAGAAAAUAGUAAAUGUUUUCACAGUACAAAUGUAACAAUAUUAUCAUACUUAUCUUUUUAUGUUUUGCUUCUAACUGGUAGUAGUAUCAUCAAUUGUAUUAUACCCUCAAUAUCUACUGUAACUGUAUUUCUAUGAAAAAAUUUUUCUGUAGCAGUAUCCUCUGGUAGAAGAGAAUGGCAUUUGAAAUAAGACAUACCUGGUUUGAAUUAUUUGGCUUACUUACUUCUGAAUUGUCUGACCUUGAAAAUUGAGUA
rnacentral:lncRNA from 1 species